CCUACGGGAGGCAGCAGUGAGGAAUAUUGGUCAAUGGGCGAAAGUCUGAACCAGCCAAGCAGCGUGAAGGAUGACGGCCCUAGGGAUUGUAAACUUCUUUUGUAAAGGAAUAAAACGAGGCACGUGUGCCUUUUUGCAUGUACUUUAUGAAUAAGGAUCGGCUAACUCCGUGCCAGCAGCCGCGGUAAUACGGAGGAUCCGAGCGUUAUCCGGAUUUAUUGGGUUUAAAGGGAGCGUAGAUGGGUUGUUAAGUCAGUUGUGAAAGGUUGGGGCUUAACCGUAAAAUUGCAGUUGAUACUGGCUGUCUUGAGUAGAGGUGAGGUAAGCGGAAUGCGUGGUGUAGCGGUGAAAUGCUUAGAUAUCACGAAGAACACCGAUGGCGAAGGCAGCUUACUAAACUGUGACUGACGUUGAGGCUCGAAAGCGUGGGUAUCAAACAGGAUUAGAUACCCGGGUAGUC
rnacentral:rRNA from 1 species